UGUAUCAGACCGGCGACGGUCCUCGUUGCUCCUCCAAUCCCACCCGGCUCUUUCAAGCAUAUAGUAGAGGACGUUCCUCCAUUGCUUCCCUGCUCUACUCGAUUCUCGUUAAUGAUGGAUCGCCGUCAAUUAUGUCUACUGUUAUUAAACUCGUCCGCUAAAUUAGCAAAGGUUUGGAGAUAGACAGAGUGGCAGAUAAGAUCCAGGAAUUUCCAUAAGGAGCAAUAAACCUCAUUGUCAGAGAAAGAAAUACCGAGUUAAUUGAACUCCAAGUAAGGUCUUUGUGGCGUCGUGGAAAGUAAGGAAUCUCCUUUACCCCUUGAGGAGUAUGCAGCGAGUGCAUCUAUCCUGCCUAAAUAUUCUCUAUCAAAUAAAAUAUCACUGGAACAGUACAGUAACAUCAGAGCAUCAGAGUGACAAUUGGAAAAAGCGCAAAGGUGUGGACAGGAAAGUAAGGAGACCGUUUUCAUCUGCGGACGGUAGAGAAAAUGCAGAAAGUUCAGUGACACCCAAGUUGUGGACAGGAAAGGAAGGCUCGUGGACGGUAGAGAAGGUGAAGAAGUGCAGCAACACGCCAGAGCAACGAGUUCUGUGGACAGUUUAAGACCUUAAUCUUCAGAUGAAGAAAACUUACGGUCUCGUAUCUCCAGAAAUUAAACCAAUUAGAACUAUCUUAAUGUUAUGAUAUCGAACUAUAAUUGGGAUAGAAAAUGUAAUUACCACGCAGAAAUAUAAAAAAAUACUGUAAAGCUUUCAUUAUUGGUAGCUUUUAAUCUAGAUUUCAGGAGCAACAAAUCAGGUUAAAAAUAUAUCCACAAAUUUUAAAAACUGCCCCUGGAUUACCAGCUAUUUAUUCUAUUCUUCACCGCUGCUUCAUGCUUGUCCCAAUUCCUCUUGCUCAUGCAACUUUGAAAAUGCUAAAAAUGUGGAAUGUAAAAAAUUAAAGAGCCAUUAAACUUUAAAAGAAAAAAUUACAAUGUAAAGUGAGGCAUCCACAAAUAUUUAAAACAUCCCUGGAUUACCAGCCAAUAAAUAAAUAUUGUCUAUGUUCUUUAUUGCUGCUCUUCUUACAUGUCCCAGUUCCUCUCGAUGAUCAUGCCACUCUGAAAAAGCAAAAAAGUGGAAUAUAAAAAAAAUAGAAUAGCAAAAAAAAUUGGAAUAUAAAAAAUAAAUACCCAUUCGACAGAAAAAGUAGGAAUUGCAAAAAAGUCUAAUAUAAAAAAAUGAACCAUUCAACAGAAAAUGUAGGAAAUUAAAAAAAAAUAUUGAAGAGCUAGUCAACAAUCUUCUAUCAACUUAAGCAUUCUUUUAGAGCAAAAAUGAAAAUUUCAAAUUACCAUGUAAAGUGAGGCACCCAAAACCUUUUUUGAAACCUGCCUUGGAUUAUCGACCAAUAAAAAUUGUAUAGUUCUUCACUGCUGCUCUUGCAUGUCCCAAAUCUUCACUAGCGCCGCGAGUUCGAUUCUUGGGCAUUCCACUGGGCCGUUAGAAAUGUGUGUGUCUGCUGUUAAAAGUUCUCUCGCGACGUGGUUCAUUAGUCAGGUAAAACUGUUGGCCCCGUUGCUGAGAAUAAUCACUGGUUCCAUGCAACGUAAAAACACCAUACAAACAAAACUUCGAUACUGCUUUUCCAUGCCCCAAUUCCUUGUCGAUGCCCAUGCACAUCUGGAACAUACAAAAAAAUACCCAUUCAACAUUCUUCCAUUAAUGCAAAGUACCCUUAUUGAAAAACAAAGAUAAAUAAAAAGACAAUAAAUUACCAUGCAAAUUGAGGCAUUCAGAAAUGUUUAAACAUUGCCUUGGAUUACCGGCCAAUAAAAAUUGUCUAAUUCUUCAAUGCUGCUCUUGCUUGUCCCGACUCUUCUAGAAUUAUGACCCUGCAACCCUGGAAAAUGCAAAACUAUUUUGCCAUUCAGCAAUCUUCCAUUGAUGUAUGAAAGAAAAAAAUAAAUUCAAAUUACUACCAUGCAAAGUGAGGCUCUCAGACAUUUUUUCGAAACAGGCCUAAAAAUAUUAUAGUUCUUCACUGCUGCUAUUGCUUGUUCCAAUUCCUGCCGAUG